GGGCCCGCACAAGCGGAGGAACAUGUGGUUUAAUUCGAUGAUACGCGAGGAACCUUACCCGGGCUUGAAUUGCAGCGGAAUGUAGUUUAAAGAUUACAGCCUUCGGGCCGCUGUGAAGGUGCUGCAUGGUUGUCGUCAGCUCGUGCCGUGAGGUGUCGGCUUAAGUGCCAUAACGAGCGCAACCCUUAUUUUCAGUUACUAACAGGUCAUGCUGAGGACUCUGAAGAGACUGCCGUCGUAAGAUGUGAGGAAGGUGGGGAUGACGUCAAAUCAGCACGGCCCUUACGUCCGGGGCUACACACGUGUUACAAUGGGGGGUACAGAAGGCCGCUACACAGCAAUGUGAUGCCAAUCCCAAAAACCUCUCUCAGUUCGGAUUGGAGUCUGCAACUCGACUCCAUGAAGCUGGAUUCGCUAGUAAUCGCGCAUCAGCCACGGCGCGGUGAAUACGUUCCCGGGCCUU
rnacentral:rRNA from 1 species